rnacentral:rRNA from 1 species
UGUCUUUGAGGUGGGGAAAACCUCGGGAAACGUGAGGCUAAUACCGAAUGUAGCGCCCGCUCGCAUGGAGCGGAGCGCCAAAGGGGGCGAAAGCUCCCCCUCUUCGAGGGGCCCGCGCACCAUCAGCUAGUCGGCGGGGUAACGGCCCACCGAGGCUCACGGUUAGCUGGUCUGAGAGGAUGGCCAGCCGCACUGGGACUGAGAUACUGCCCAGACUCCUACGGGAGGCUGCAGUCGAGGUAUCAUUUGCAAUGGGCGAAGGCCUGACAAUGCGACGCUGGCGUGGAGGAUGAAGGCCCUCGGGUUGUUAAACUCCUGUCAAUGGGGGAAAAGGAAAAGGGACCCAACACGUCCCCGAUUUGAUGGUACCCCAAGAGGAAGCGACGGCUAACUCUGUGCCAGCCGCGGC